GGCUGCCGCUUUACUAUAUUUAUUUUCCUCCUUUUGGUUAACGUGUAGAAUAGCUGCUUCUGACCGAUUUUCAAAUAUUUAGGCUUUUUUUUAUGAAAAGAUAUGUACCCUACGUAACAUACGUGGCAUUUCACUGGGCGGCCGGCUUUUGGUUACGUCAAGUUAUUUGUUAGGGUACAUAAUUUGUCCCUGUGUUCCUAAAUGUAUUGUUCUCUCACUAACAAUGUUUUUAGAAGCCACAAAGAUGAUUAAGUGGAUUCUCGGGGUUGUUUUGUCCUAAUUCUUGUUAAACUAUUACUAGAAUCAUGGAAACACAUUUGAAAAACUCAUAAUAACUUCCAUUACAACCUCUUAAAAGUAUAAGAUUAUUUGCCAGAAUGUUUAGGAAUACAGACUUCAAGUAUUUGAGAAAUUUCAGCUGAAAACUGUUUAAAAGUGGUUGCUAUUUCUUGAUAAUUCCCCCUAACCUGUCAAACAAGCUUGGGGACCAGUGGGGAACCUCGGGUUUUGGGGGGGAUGAAAAUAAGUGAAAUAAGGGCGUUCAAAAGUCUAAGGAAAUUUACCUCAAUAUUUUGAAUUUCCCUAACCUAUCCUAGCCCUUAGACUCCCCCUGCUUGGACGUUAAUCUAACCUAGCAUUACCUAAUCUAGCUGGUGGGACUGUUCUUCCCCUGGAUCCCACCCCCAACUAGGACAUUAACCUAACCUAGCAUAACCUAACUUAAUCUAACCUGACCUAGUAUAACCUAACCUAGCAUAGCCCAAUCUAACCUAACAUAACCUAACCUAAGGAGGAACCUUAAAAAUUAUACUGUUAUGCCUUACUGGUGUGGUGUGGAGAUUCUCAGGACGAUGGAGGGGGGGGUACAGUUUGGCGGCUUCCUUAAUAAACACAUGGAACUUUUUCCUUAUGUCUGUAUAUCGCAUUUUUACCAUUGCCAUUGCUAAAUAUCUCACACAGGGACUUCUUUUCCUGCUGAACACUGGCACUGUUUGCUUCACUUCUCUCCACAGGGUAGCCAUAUUAACAAAUGACAGUAAGCCUCUAUCAAAACACCUGACACAUUUCUAAAACAAACGAAAAGUGUAACUGAACCUACCGUGGAAGGUCAUAAUCGGCAGCCCCAGGAAUGGCCUCAUAAGUGGCAGCACAUGAUUGGAGGGAUCAGCUUUACAGAUACCAUGGAAUCCUAAUAUGCCACAACCCACAAAUCCCAGUUAUAAACAAAAGAAAAUCAUUUCACUGUUUACUUUUGACUGGUGCAGAGCUCGCUGGACUUAGAAAAUAUAAAAUUUCUCCACUCUCACAAAUGCUAUUACACCCAUAAAAGACACAUGGCCUCCCAAUGUUUUUGCAUUUAUGGCAAGGUCACUAAACCCUUCUCCACGACAUGGGAGUUUCAUACUUGGUUUGCUGAGGUUUGAGGCACAGGAGGCAGUGCUGCUGGCCCUGUUGGCACUGGCACUGUACAGAGGGUGCCACGCCCACCCUACGAUGGUGCCUCACUGCAGCAGGACGCAGGAUGACAUUGAGCCCAUACUGAGGGCUCAGUGUUCAUGCACUGCAAAGAGUUGGCACAGGAGGUGUCAAAGGCUGUACAGAGUGGCUGCCUGUGCCUGGUGCCAGGCCUGCAUGGGAGGGUGUAUCACAACUGGCUGAACAACAUCACAGACUAGUGUGUUUCCCAUCAGCUCUGGUGGGGCCACAGAAUCCUAAUGUAUUACGUUACUGUGGGAGGUAUGGGUGGCAGCCAGCUCAGAGGAAGAUGCAAGGUGGAAGACUGUGGAGAAGGAAGGUGCAUGUGUGUCUGUGUACCUAGUGCUUGUUUGCAUUGCCUGAUAUAUGGGAGAAAACAUUACAUUUUUAUAGUUUUAUUUCAGAUGGUGUACACUCUUUGCCUCUAUCGCAUCUAAUAGUCUGUUCUUAAUAUCUGGAUUUUUGUGGGGGCAAAACUGUACCAUGUUAUAGUUUUUUUACAGUUGAGGUACAUUCCUCUUGUCUCUGUCAUCUCUUCUGGUCUGUUCUGGAUACCUACUAUAUUUCUGAGGGAAAACUGCACUAUUUUACAUCAUUCAAAUGCAUGCCCUUGGCCUCCAUCAUCUCCACCCAGCAGGAGGAAGACAUCCUGGAUGCGUGGUUGUUUUUCUCCAGCCUUUUCCCUUUCACCUCACUGGUCUGGCCAGGUCAAGAGAGAGAAGGAUCCACACCUGACCUUGCUUGCUUCUUCCUGACAACCUUGGUGGAGAUGGGUCACAGCAUCCUCUUCUUCUGGUUGGCUUGAAUGGUCAUGCUGGGACUCAAUCUGAUGGGGAGGCUCCCCUUUGAGCCUUUGGCGUCCACUCCUUAUGGCAACUUGCUGUCCUCCACCUCAUCUGUGUCAUCCUGAGAAAGCCUGGCCAGCUGCCACACUUGUGAUAAACCUCACAUGACUUUCCCAGGGCUCAUAAGGAUCACUAGAUCUUCACAGCCCUAACAACAACAAACAAUAACAACACUCAGGCUAUAUCGUCUGCUAUGGGGGGAAUCUGCAGGAUGGCGACAGAAGAAACCUCAGCUUGCAACUUUUCAUCUUCAGCUGAAUACAGUAAACCCUCAAUAUAACAAACUUCAGUUUACUGGAUUUUGGAUAUAACUGACCAUUUAAGGCUAUCAAACAUUAAUUUUAUUUUGCCAACUGUUUGCAAAUUACAGUACUUUCAAAAUUAUCAAACAGAGAGAGAGAGAAAGAGAGAGAGAGAGAGAAGGAUAUGUGGUUAUGUGUGUCAGCCAGUGAGCUUGACAAUGGCUGAUGACUCUCUCUCUCUCUCUCUCUCUCUCUCUCUCUCUCUCUCUCUCUCUCUCUCUCUCUCUCUCUCUCUCUCUCUCUCUCUCUCUCUCUCUCUCUCUCUCUCUCUCUCUCUCUCUCUCUCUGUGCGCUGAACAUCAUCACAUCAAUUUUAUUUACAAGUAACCAACACAUACUGUAUGUGCUACAGUGAUAAAGGACUUCAUAUUGCUUGUAGAGUUAGUUUUUUUGCUCUAAUAUCACUCGUUAUACUCUUGUUUACUUGCUCCAUUCCCAUCAUAAAAUAUUCCACAGGCAACGAAACUUUAGUAAUUUGUCAAUAAAACUCUAUAACAAUGUUGAUAAUGCAUAAAAUACAUAAAUAUAAACCAUAGUGGUAGGACUUAACACUUGCACAAGGAGUAAACUCUUGUAAACUCUUUUCCAUUUCUAUUGUAACAUAUUCCACAGACAACGAAGCAAUAGUAAUUUGUCAGUAAAACUCCAUAGUCAACGAAAUUUCAUACACAAGUUAAUUUACAUCGAAAUUGCUUUCGGGAACAAUUUGGACGGUAAGAGGGUAAAUAAAGGAAGGAAGGGUAGAGAAGAGUCGGCCAUUAUGUCACGCGUUGCCGCCAGCCAGUUAUGAAUCAAACAUCAACCCUGUUUCCGAAACUCCGAAUGGCACAGUUGAAGGCAGUUAAUUACAGCAACUUGAAAGGAUAAUUUUAGAAUAAACAGUGAUUACCAAAAGGAUUGAGAAAUACAAUAGUAUGAACUGGAACACACAUGAAAUAAUAUCUGCAAUGCACAACAGAUUAGUAACUGAAACCCAAGUAUGAACAUAUACCUGACAUGCACAGAAUUAGAUGAAUUAUAAUAUUCAUAAGGAAAUACCGCAAAACAAAAUAUGUUACAACAGUUUUCUUUAUUCAGUUCUUAUACGUUUAAUACAUGAAGACCAAAAUAUCAUCUCUAUUUCCUUGAUCGAACACUCCACAUACCCGUAUCACACACUUUUUUUUUUUACAAUAUUAAUGGUUUUACUGUGAAACCACACAAACCUGAUUUUAUUACUUUGUCUAUUUUUAAUGCAUAUCUUUCUAUAAAAGGAAGAAGAAAACCCAAGAUCUGUCUUCAUUUUUAUAAGUACCUAAGCAGGAAUUCAAGUUCAUCAACAGAUUGCAAGGCUUCACAUAGAUGCUUAAGAAUGUUAGCAUACGAUACUAUCACAAAUACUUAGUAAUAAAGAACAAAUGUACCAUUACCACACCAAAAUAACCGAUAAAAACAAUUUGACACCCACAGAAGUGUUUGCUCUUUACUAUCUGCAUGUUCCACCUUCACUGCACAUUGUCAGGAAAUAAUGAUUGUUGUUGUAUAAAGGCAAAGUCAGCACAAGUAGCGAGAGAGAAAGAGAGAGAGAGAGAGAGAGAGA